rnacentral:rRNA from 1 species
AUUGAACGCUGGCGGCAGGCCUAACACAUGCAAGUCGAACGAGUGGCGGACGUGUGAGUCAUGUCUGGGAACCUGCCUGAUGGAGGGGGAUAACUACUGGAAACGGUAGCUAAUACCGCAUACCAUCAGAUGUGCCCAGAUGGGAUUAGCUUGUUGGUGGGGUAACGGCUCACCAAGGCGACGAUCCCUAGCUGAGCGGAGAGGAUGACCAGCCACAUUGGAACGGAGACACGGUCCAGACGCCUACGGGAGGCAGCAGUGGGGAAUAUUGCACAAUGGGGGAAAGCCUGAUGCAGCCAUGCCGCGUGUAUGAAGAAGGCCUUCGGGUUGGAAAGUACUUGCAGCGGGGAGGCGUUACCCGAAGAAGAAGCACCGGCUAACUACGUGCCAGCAGCCGCGGUAAUUC